CAAUACUAAAAGCACAAUAAGCUCAAUGGAGAGAGCUGCCACGUAUUAAAUUAAAUCGACCAAUUAGAAAGCAGUAUGGUGCCAGGUCACGCCAGUUUUGUAGAAACCCUACCUGUCUCAUCGUCUUCACCUUCUUCCUCCGCAUCAGAGAAACUAAUGCGUUUCUAAAUUCUCCAAUUCUCAUCUAUUAUUUCGUCUUCCACUCCUCUGGCUCAAACCCAUAUCUCGCUUCUGCUCACUUUGCAAUAUUCACCAAAUAAAUAAGUAAUCACAUCAAGCAAUGGAAACCAAAGCGUAAUCCACCAGCAAGGCGCUAAUGGCUGUGUUCUUCAACGAUGUCUCUCAUGGCUUGGUGAAUCGCCUUUCACAUGCUUUUACUUUCUUGCUUCUCUCUUUUAUCGAAGUUUCUGAGGAAAGAUUACAAUAGCUGUAGUGAUCUAUUGUCAGCUUAAGGCAUGCUGUUACUGUGGACAGAACCUGUGAGAACUGGUUUAGAUUGAAAUUUUUUGAUGUGUCUUCUCGCUUUGCUCUUUCAGAUUCUUUUUUACCAAAUUCACAAGUCUUCCUCCAUUGUUUGUGAAUAAAAUCUGGAGCUGACUCUUGCAGGUAAGUUUCUCUUAUUGGCUCUAUAUAUAUAUAUAUGUAAAUAUUGUGUGUCAAGUUUAUAUUUUUGGAUUUUCCCAUCAAUUGCAUGUAACUUUUCUCUUCUCAUUAAGACAUGGGAUUACAUACUUAAUUUUGGUCUAUAUCUCUGAAGCUCUCUGAAGCUUACAAGACCUGAUAAAUUGUGUCAGUUUUUCUUCUUCUUUGUUUUGUAUUACUAUACAGAUAUGUCUCUUGACCACUUGAACUGGUGGUUUCAGUGAUUAUAAAUUUUUAUUUUGUAGUUUGGGAUCUUUGUUAAGCAAUGUACACAGAAUGUUUCAGGUCCUACUAUCAGUCUUGCGAGACUUAUCGGAAGAUAUAUGAAGCUUCAAGAAUAGACAGCCACAAACUUAUACCAAUGUGGUUCAGGGAUAGAAGAGAGAAAGAGCAACAACGUCUAUGUAAGAUCCAAAGAGAUGAUGAUGCUGUAACAUCACAAGCACCUCAAGAACCUACGACUCCUAAUGCUGGUGAUGCCUUACGUUCACUGUAGGAUCAAUAUUGAAUCACACAUGAAUCGACCAACACAUAUUUCUCCUCUUAAGGAUUAUCUAUGAGCAAGCUGUUACUCGGAGCGUAAAAACUGAGAAUCAAGAUGCUUUUCAAAGAUUACUUCCUUUUGACAUUGGCAAAAGUCUAUUUCCAAAAGGGGGUUGUCUCAGUGUUUCCUUUUUCUAUGGAGCUUCGCUGUAUACAUGGUCAAUCCAUUUCUCAGGCCAUGAACUCAAAGAAAGAAGAAGAGGAAGGCAAUGAAAGAACCACAUUUGAAAAUGUGGCAAAAGAGAUUAUUAAACAA